UGCUGUUGCUUUCUGGGAUGUGCUUUAUCCUGUACGCGGUAAUUGCACUGUCAGACCAAGAAAAUCAUCCCCAUCAGUUUAGUGGUGAGCCCUUGCUUUGCUUCCUGCUCUGCAUGGCAUUUGGAUGCCCUUUAAAGAGGAACUUGUGCUGCACUCCUGGUGACUUGGGUCAGCAGCUCCUCGCACAGCAGCACGGAGGGCCUGCCAUUUACAGACCUGCACUCACGCUGCUGAAUCACAAAAAGCUUGCAGAAAAGGAGAAUUAAUGAGCUGCGCAGUGAGGAACAACCUUCCCACCCACGCUGUGCCCUCCCUCCCCCUUGGCUGAGGGCAUGGCAGGACAUGGGGGAGAGCACGCAGGAUGUAAGAAAACCGUACGUAGGGAUGAGUGCUGUGGGCAGUUAUUGAACGGCUUUGUAGGGGAUGUGGACAGUGGGAUGGAGGGCAUCCUCAGCAGGCUGCAGAUGACACCAAGAUGGCCUGUGCAGUUUUGCUGCCCCGGGUCUCAGGAGCGCUCUGUUCCGGUGCUUCCUUCUCUUCUGGCUGUGGUGUCUCUGGUAGCUCUGAAUGGGGCCCGUCCAUCCCUUUGAGCUUCUUGUUCUGUCCUCGUCUUCAGAGUUCUGUUUUACACAGUCCAUAGGGGAGCUGCCUCUGCCCAUGCGGUGCGGAUCCUCAGGCUGCCUGUAGGAGCACACUGGGGUGCAGAGCGGGACGGGUGCCUUCCUCAUGCAUCAGUCGGUGCCUUGGCCAGGUGCAGACAUGGGCUGGUUGGAGGAGGCUGCACUGCUCUGGUUCUGUGCGUGUCCAGAUGUCUGUCUGCAAGGCAGAGGGGGUGCACAAGAGGAGCAGCCUCCUGCCCUGCUUCCCUGUGCUGCUCUCCCCUGCACAGCACUGCUCACCGUGUUGCAGGUCUGCCAGCCAUUGCCAUGGCCAUGUGGGGCUGCCUGUGUCCCCAAGGCUGUGUGGAAAGGGCCACUGCAAUCAGCAGGUCUGAUGCCAGCUCCUGCAGUGGGGCCACGAAGCAGCAGCAAACAUUGGGGUAGGGCAGGGGGUCCUUGGGGAGCUUCCUGGGUCCUGUCGGAGUGAGGUGGGGUGUGGGUUGGGAGUGACUUAUCUGUCCCGUGGGUGAGCACAGGAGCUCUCGCCGUGCUGCUGUGUCCCUGUCCGUGUGUGUGGCUGUGAGGCAGAGGAGGAGCAGCCGCCAUCCAUGGCCAUGGGCUGCUGCUGCCCCCCACAGCCCUCGCUCACUCGGGUACUCAGCAG
ensembl:lncRNA